UACACAUGCAAGUCGAACGGUAACAGGUCUUCGGAUGCUGACGAGUGGCGAACGGGUGAGUAAUACAUCGGAACGUGCCCAGUAAUGGGGGAUAGCUCGGCGAAAGCCGGAUUAAUACCGCAUACGCCCUGAGGGGGAAAGUGGGGGAUCGCAAGACCUCACGUUAUUGGAGCGGCCGAUGGCUGAUUAGCUAGUUGGUAGGGUAAAGGCCUACCAAGGCGACGAUCAGUAGCUGGUCUGAGAGGACGAUCAGCCACACUGGGACUGAGACACGGCCCAGACUUCUACGGGAGGCAGCAGUGGGGAAUUUUGGACAAUGGGGGAAACCCUGAUCCAGCAAUGCCGCGUGUGCGAAGAAGGCCUUCGGGUUGUAAAGCACUUUUGUCAGGGAAGAAAUCCUUUGGGCUAAUACCCUAGGGGGAUGACGGUACCUGAAGAAUAAGCACCGGCUAACUACGUGCCAGCAGCCGCGGUAAUACGUAGGGUGCAAGCGUUAAUCGGAAUUACUGGGCGUAAAGCGUGCGCAGGCGGUUGUGUAAGACAGGUGUGAAAUCCCCGGGCUUAACCUGGGAAUUGCAUUUGUGACUGCACGACUAGAGUGUGUCAGAGGGGGGUGGAAUUCCACGUGUAGCAGUGAAAUGCGUAGAUAUGUGGAGGAACACCAAUGGCGAAGGCAGCCCCCUGGGAUAACACUGACGCUCAUGC
rnacentral:rRNA from 1 species